UACGAGGGGGGGCGAGCGUUUGUUCGGAAUUAUUGGGCGUAAAGCGUGUGUAGGCGGCCUCGUAGGUCGGAUGUGAAAGCUCUCGGCUCAACCGGGAAAGUGCAUUCGAAACCACAAGGCUUGAGUGUCGGAGAGAGGGUAGUGGAAUUUCCGGUGUAGCGGUGAAAUGCGUAGAGAUCGGAAAGAACACCAGUGGCGAAGGCGGCUACCUGGUUCCAGACUGACACUGAGGUGCAGGAAAGCAUGGGGAGCAAACAGG
rnacentral:rRNA from 1 species